CUUGACUCGAUAGCAGUGUUCUGCAUUUUGCUUCUGCAAAAAGCCAUUCCUAGCGCUCAUUCAAAGCUUUCAUACACUUCAACGGAUACAGAAGAAGACUACUUUCAACUGAGAAUCAUGGAACUUCGACGAUCACAGAGGAUUAGACGUCCCCCCCACUGGUUCUCCGACUACUUGGUGGAGUUUCCUGUGCGGAGAACCAGGGUUCAGCUGACUGUGAAGGUUGUAGAUGAUCUUCAGGAGCCUGAGAAGGUGGC